UACGUAGGGCGCAAGCGUUGUCCGGAAUUAUUGGGCGUAAAGAGCUCGUAGGUGGCUUGUCGCGUCUGCUGUGAAAACCUAAGGCUCAACCUUGGGCUUGCAGUGGGUACGGGCAGACUAGAGUGCGGUAGGGGUGACUGGAAUUCCUGGUGUAGCGGUGGAAUGCGCAGAUAUCAGGAGGAACACCGAUGGCGAAGGCAGGUCACUGGGCCGCAACUGACGCUGAGGAGCGAAAGCAUGGGGAGCGAACAGG
rnacentral:rRNA from 1 species